CCGGGUGCGGUGGCUCACGCCUGUAAUCCCAGCACUUUGGGAGGCCGAGGUGGGCAGAUCACGAGGUCAGGAGAUCGAGACCAUCCUGGCCAACACAGUAAAACCCCGUCUCUACUAAAAAUACAAAAAUUAGCUGGGCACGGUGGUGCAUGCCUGUAAACCCAGCUACCAGGUACUCGGGAGGCUGAGGCAGGAGAAUCGCUUGAACCAGGGAGUCGGAGGUUGCGG
rnacentral:lncRNA from 1 species